rnacentral:lncRNA from 1 species
GAAAGCAGACUAAGGGGGAGGAAAUGGGUCAAAGAAGGUUUACCAAAUGUCUUUGUACUCGGUAAAUUCAAAUGUAACCCAGAUAUGAGGGAUAUGCUCUGUCCUGAAGAGUCUGCCUGCAGAACUGGGAAGGGAUCAAUGGAAACAAAGGAAUAUGUGCUGUCAUGGCAGCCAUCCCAUCACAAUGGAAGAGCACUGGUUCUCAACCUAAAGCAUCCGUCUGGUUUGGCAAGCAUGCAAGACGAAGAUUGGGAAGGAAGCAGUGAAAUCCAGGGUGGGAGUGCUGGAUGUCAUAACCAAAGGCAGAGGCAGUUGCAUAGAAAUGCUUCCAGUGUAUAUAAAAAAGCCGAUACACACCCCUGAAUUAAUAGGAAUAUAUAUUCUAAUUAAUUGACAGCAAGAGCUCUUGAUGGAAUGAAAGAACGGAUCUCCAGCUCCCCGAGCAAGAACCCAGACACAGCUA